GACGAACGCUGGCGGCGUGCCUAAUACAUGCAAGUUGAGCGAUGAAGAUUGGUGCUUGCACCAAUUUGAAGAGCAGCGAACGGGUGAGUAACGCGUGGGGAAUCUGCCUUUGAGCGGGGGACAACAUUUGGAAACGAAUGCUAAUACCGCAUAAUAACUUUAAACAUAAGUUUUAAGUUUGAAAGAUGCAAUUGCAUCACUCAAAGAUGAUCCCGCGUUGUAUUAGCUAGUUGGUGAGGUAAAGGCUCACCAAGGCGAUGAUACAUAGCCGACCUGAGAGGGGGGUCGGCCACAUUGGGACUGAGACACGGGCCAAAAUCCUACGGGAAGGAGCAGUAAGGAAUCUUCGGCAAUGGACGAAAGUCUGACCGAGCAACGCCGCGUGAGUGAAGAAGGUUUUCGGAUCGUAAAACUCUGUUGGUAGAGAAGAACGUUGGUGAGAGUGGAAAGCUCAUCAAGUGACGGUAACUACCCAGAAAGGGACGGCUAACUACGUG
rnacentral:rRNA from 1 species